rnacentral:rRNA from 1 species
UACGGGGGGGGCAAGCGUUGUUCGGAAUUACUGGGCGUAAAGGGCUCGUAGGCGGCCAACUAAGUCAGACGUGAAAUCCCCAGGCUUAACCUGGGAACUGCAUCCGAUACUGGAUGGCUUGAAUCCGGGAGAGGGAUGCAGAAUUCCUGGUGUAGCGGUGGAAUGCGCAGAUAUCAGGAGGAACACCAAUAGCGAAGGCAGCUCGCUGGGACGUUACUGACACUGAGGCGCGAAAGCGUGGGGAGCGAACAGGAUUAGAAACCCCAG